UCAUUUUAGCUUUAGUUAUGCUCUUAGCAAGUUCUCACAGGUUGUCACCAGAUGUGGACUCCUUUGCUUCUUCUGCAUGGUAAAUCGUCUUCUUUCUAUUCUUUAUUUUUUACUCUCCCUUUUACGUGUUUCCCAUUGUCUUUUCCCAUUCCUCUUUUUUUCCCCCUCUUCUCCUCAAUUUCCCAGGUGAAUCGUUCUUGCAAAACCGUUGUGGGAGCUUGAGUUUGCGGUCUCCGAUGCUGACAACCGUUGGGUGAGGGUGGUGAUAGAUAUUGGUAGGACGCUCUCAUAUAACAGCAAGGAGUGCUUCUGGAGCAGAACCUGCAGGACUUAUUCCUAAAAAUACUGGGCUAAUUCUCAUUUUGUGGUCUCAUUAAUGGCCCCCGAGAAGGCACACAAAUGUUUUCACGAACAACGUCUUUGGUUCAAAGGUAUCAGGAAGAGAGAAGAAAAAGGAGAUCCAAAAGUAUGAAGCAUGAAAGUAGUUAAAAUAGUAAGGCCGUUGGGUCUCUUUGAUUGUACAUAGGCUCAUAAAGUAUAUUCAUAUUCAUAUCAAGGAACCAUUGGCAGCAAUAACCAUGGUAUUGUCUUGAAAGAAUCCCUUCAAGAGCUUUGCAAAAGAAAAUCACGUCACAUUAAAGACAUGAAUAUUGUUCAAGUGAGUUUGGAGGCAUUUGGUA